CUACGGGGCGCAGCAGUCGAGAAUCAUUCACAAUGGGGGAAACCCUGAUGAUGCAACGCCGCGUGGAGGAUGAAGGCCCUCGGGUCGUAAACUCCUGUCAUCAGAGAGUAAGCCUUGUUCGUUAAUAGCGUGCAAGGUUGAUAGUAUCUGAAGAGGAAGGGACGGCUAACUUCGUGCCAGCAGCCGCGGUAAUACGAAGGUCCCAAGCGUUGUUCGGAAUCACUGGGCGUAAAGAGUAUGUAGGCGGUUCGGAAAGUCAGAUGUGAAGGCCCGGGGCUCAACCCCGGAACUGCAUCCGAACUUCCAAACUAGAGUAAUGGAGGGGUAGCUGGAAUUCUCGGUGUAGCAGUGAAAUGCGUAGAUAUCGAGAGGAACACUCGUGGCGAAGGCGAGCUACUGGACAUUUACUGACGCUGAGAUACGAAGGCCAGGGUAGCGAAAGGGAUUAGAUACCCGAGUAGUC
rnacentral:rRNA from 1 species